rnacentral:rRNA from 1 species
GACGAACGCUGGCGGCGUGCUUAACACAUGCAAGUCGAACGGGGUAGCAAUACCUAGUGGCGGACGGGUGAGUAACGCGUAGGUAAUCUGCCUCUUAGGUGGGGGAUACCCAGCCGAAAGGUUGGCUAAUACCGCAUAAGCUGGGCGGGGUGAAAGUCCCUGUCAGGAAAGAUUUAUUGCUAAGAGAUGAGCCUGCGUCCGAUUAGCUAGUUGGUAGUGUAAGAGACUACCAAGGCGACGAUCGGUAGCUGGUCUGAGAGGACGAUCAGCCACACUGGAACUGAGACACGGUCCAGACUCCUAC